AGGGUUUGAUUAUGGCUCAGGAUGAACGCUGGCGGCGUGCAUAACACAUUCAAGUCGAACGGAAGUAGCAAUACUUUAGUGGCGGACGGGUGAGUAACGCGUAAGCAAUCUGCCUCUGUGAGUGGAAUAACAGCUGGAAACGGCUGCUAAUACCGCAUGACGCAACGGAACCGCAUGAUUCUGUUGCCAAAGAUUUAUCGCACGGAGAUGAGCUUGCGUCCGAUUAGAUAGUUGGCGGGGUAACGGCCCACCAAGUCGACGAUCGGUAGCCGGACUGAGAGGUUGAACGGCCACAUUGGAACUGAGAACGGUCCAG
rnacentral:rRNA from 1 species